rnacentral:rRNA from 1 species
AUUGAACGCUGGCGGCAGGCCUAACACAUGCAAGUCGAGCGGAGCGGCGGACGGGUGAGUAAUGCCUAGGAAUCUGCCUGGUAGUGGGGGAUAACGUCCGGAAACGGGCGCUAAUACCGCAUACUAUCAGAUGAGCCUAGGUCGGAUUAGCUAGUUGGUGGGGUAAAGGCCUACCAAGGCGACGAUCCGUAACUGGUCUGAGAGGAUGAUCAGUCACACGGGAACGGAGACACGGGCCAGACUCCAACGGGAGGCAGCAGGGGGGAAGAUUGGACAAUGGGCGAAGACCUGAUCCAGCAAUGCCGCGUGUGUGAAGAAGGUAUUCGGAUGGUAAAGAACUUUAAGUUGGGAGGCGUUACCAACAGAAUAAUCAACGGCUAACUUCGUGCCAGCAGCCGCGGUAAUUC